AGUCGUAACAAGGUUUCCGUAGGUGAACCUGCGGAAGGAUCAUUAUCAUAUAUUUCCAAAUUUAAAACCACUUGAUAUUCAAUGUGAUUUAGUUCACAUUCUUUAUCAAGUUGGCACACCAUGUGAACUUUAUAAAGUCCAUAACCCCAUUUUUUUAAACACCAUUUGUUUAAUCUGUUUGUAGUGUUUGUAACUCUUCUUCUACCUAUCUUUCUCUCAUACGUGAGGAAAGGGUAGAUAGAUCAAGAAACACAAAUGAAAAAUCUAUAUACAAUCUUUAACGAUGGAUAUCUCGGCUCGU
rnacentral:misc_RNA from 1 species